CCGAGUGUUCUGCAGAAAAAAAACUGGUUUCUACCUACCGAGGUUAAAGGAUUAAUGAAUACUUGGCACAUGAAAAAUGAAUAGUGAUAGCAAGAAGAAGAUUGCAUGUAGACAGUGUGAUAAGGUCUGUGUUCAAUUCCAUGAUCUCAGCUCCUUGCAUUAAACACUGUGUUGUUUGGUUGGUUUGGAGACCAAAAAAAAAAAGGAUCAUCCCUUAAACUGCUUUAUAAAGAGAGGCACACAGUAGUUUCACAUGAACAUUAGAGCUACUACAUUUCUCAUGGCUCCAAAAGAAGUUAAAGACCUGGAGGAGAAGAUUCAAAGCCAGAAGAAAUGUUUCAGAAACAGCGGCAGGUCGUGCACAGGAAUAAGGAGCGUUCUGCAGUCACGUUAGCAAAGGAGAGCGUUUAGCUGGACAUGGAUUUUGCAUCUAGUAGGCAGCCAAAAAUGUCUGGGAUAUCUUCUUUGCAGGUAUUAUCGUAACAGUCUUGCAUGCUUUUCCUGAUAAACUUUAGGUAUAACAAAUAUUUGCAAGAACUUAUGGUUUUUAUCCCAGUUGUUUUUAAUUUAGCAAAGUUCUUUGUUCUCCAUGGAGGUGUUAAAUAAAUUACAAUGGA